UUCGCAAUGCCCGAAAGGGUGACGAAGCGACGCCGCGUGGAUGAAGAAGGCCUUCGGGUUGUAAAAUCCUGUCAGGAGUUAAGAAAUAUAAGUUUGAUAAUACCAAACUUAUUUGACAAAAGCUCCAGAGGAAGCCACGGCUAACUCUGUGCCAGCAGCCGCGGUAAUACAGAGGUGGCAAGCGUUGUUCGGAAUUAUUGGGCGUAAAGAGCACGUAGGUGGAUUUGUUAGUCAGAUGUGAAAGCCUUUCGUUCAACGGAAGAAUUGCAUCUGAAACUACAAACCUUGAGUAUAGGAGGGGAGAGUGGAACUUCUGGUGGAGCGGUGAAAUGCGUAGAUAUCAGAAGGAACGCCGGCGGCGAAAGCGACUCUCUGGCCUAUAACUGACACUGAGUGUGCGAAAGCUAGGGGAGCAAACGGGAUUAGAUACCCCGGUAGUCCUAGCCGUAAACGAUGGGCACUAAGUAGAGGGGUUUU
rnacentral:rRNA from 1 species